rnacentral:rRNA from 1 species
CCUACGGGUGGCAGCAGUGGGGAAUAUUGCACAAUGGGGGAAACCCUGAUGCAGCGACGCCGCGUGAGUGAAGAAGUAUUUCGGUAUGUAAAGCUCUAUCAGCAGGGAAGAAGUUGACGGUACCGGAGUAAGAAGCCCCGGCUAACUACGUGCCAGCAGCCGCGGUAAUACGUAGGGGGCAAGCGUUAUCCGGAUUUACUGGGUGUAAAGGGAGCGUAGACGGCAGUGCAAGUCUGAAGUGAAAGCCCCGGGCUUAACCCGGGAACUGCUUUGGAAACUGUACGGCUGGAGUGCAGGAGAGGUAAGUGGAAUUCCUGGUGUAGCGGUGAAAUGCGUAGAUAUUAGGAGGAACACCAGUGGCGAAGGCGGCUUACUGGACUGUAAAUGACGCUGAGGCUCGAAAGCGUGGGGAGCAAACAGGAUUAGAUACCCGAGUAGUC